CGGCAGGUGGGGGGUGCUAUACAUGCGAGUCGAGCGAAUGGAUUAAGAGCUUGCUCUUAUGAAGUUAGCGGCGGACGGGUGAGUAACACGUGGGUAACCUGCCCAUAAGACUGGGAUAACUCCGGGAAACCGGGGCUAAUACCGGAUAACAUUUUGAACUGCAUGGUUCGAAAUUGAAAGGCGGCUUCGGCUGUCACUUAUGGAUGGACCCGCGUCGCAUUAGCUAGUUGGUGAGGUAACGGCUCACCAAGGCAACGAUGCGUAGCCGACCUGAGAGGGUGAUCGGCCACACUGGGACUGAGACACGGCCCAGACUCCUACGGGAGGCAGCAGUAGGGAAUCUUCCGCAAUGGACGAAAGUCUGACGGAGCAACGCCGCGUGAGUGAUGAAGGCUUUCGGGUCGUAAAACUCUGUUGUUAGGGAAGAACAAGUGCUAGUUGAAUAAGCUGGCACCUUGACGGUACCUAACCAGAAAGCCACGGCUAACUACGUGCCAGCAGCCGCGGUAAUACGUAGGUGGCAAGCGUUAUCCGGAAUUAUUGGGCGUAAAGCGCGCGCAGGUGGUUUCUUAAGUCUGAUGUGAAAGCCCACGGCUCAACCGUGGAGGGUCAUUGGAAACUGGGAGACUUGAGUGCAGAAGAGAGAAAGUGGAAUUCCAUGUGUAGCGGUGAAAUGCGUAGAGAUAUGGAGGAACACCAGUGGCGAAGGCGACUUUCUGGUCUGUAACUGACACUGAGGCGCGAAAGCAUGGGGGAGCAAACAGGAUUAGAUACCCUGGUAGUCCACGCCGUAAACGAUGAGUGCUAAGUGUUAGAGGGUUUCCGCCCUUUAGUGCUGAAGUUAACGCAUUAAGCACUCCGCCUGCGGAGUACGGACGCAGGCUGGAAACUCAAAGGAAUUGACGGGGGCCGGCACAGCGUGGAGCAUGUGGUUUAGUUCAAUGCACGCGAGAGCCUUACCAGGGCGUGGACAUCUCUGACACCUAGAGAUAGGGCUUGC
rnacentral:rRNA from 1 species